CCUACGGGGAGCAGCAGUGGGGAAUAUUGGACAAUGGGCGAAAGCCUGAUCCAGCCAUGCCGCGUGUGUGAAGAAGGCCUUCGGGUUGUAAAGCACUUUCAGUGGGGAAGAAAGCCUUGGGGCUAAUACCCUCGAGGAAGGACAUCACCCACAGAAGAAGCACCGGCUAACUCCGUGCCAGCAGCCGCGGUAAUACGGAGGGUGCGAGCGUUAAUCGGAAUUACUGGGCGUAAAGCGCGCGUAGGCGGUCUGAUAAGCCGGUUGUGAAAGCCCCGGGCUCAACCUGGGAACGGCAUCCGGAACUGUCAGGCUAGAGUGCAGGAGAGGAAGGUAGAAUUCCCGGUGUAGCGGUGAAAUGCGUAGAGAUCGGGAGGAAUACCAGUGGGGAAGGCGGCCUUCUGGACUGACACUGACGCUGAGGUGCGAAAGCGUGGGUAGCAAACAGGAUUAGAUACCGGGUAGUC
rnacentral:rRNA from 1 species